UACGUAGGGACCAAGCGUUGUUCGGAUUUACUGGGCGUAAAGGGCGCGUAGGCGGCGUGGUAAGUCAGUUGUGAAAUCUCUGAGCUUAACUCAGAACGGCCAAGUGAUACUGCUGUGCUAGAGUGCAGAAGGGGCAAUCGGAAUUCUUGGUGUAGCGGUGAAAUGCGUAGAUAUCAAGAGGAACACCUGAGGUGAAGACGGGUUGCUGGGCUGGCACUGACGCUGAUGCGCGAAAGCCAGGGGAGCAAACGGG
rnacentral:rRNA from 1 species